rnacentral:rRNA from 1 species
GUUAAGUCAGAUGUGAAAGACCCGGGGCGUUAACCUCGGAAUUGCAUUUGAAACUGGCAGGCUAGAGUCUUGUAGAGGGGGGUAGGAAUUUCAGGUGUAGCGGUGAAAUAGCGUAGAGAUCUGAAGGAAUACCAGUGGCGAAGGCGGCCCCCUCGGACAAAGACUGACGCUCAGAUGCGAAAGCGUGGGGAGCAAACAGGAUUAGAUACCCUGGUAG